rnacentral:rRNA from 1 species
AGUGAACGCUGGCGGUAGGCCUAACACAUGCAAGUCGAACGGCAGCACAGUAAGAGCUUGCUCUUACGGGUGGCGAGUGGCGGACGGGUGAGGAAUACAUCGGAAUCUACUUUUUCGUGGGGGAUAACGUAGGGAAACUUACGCUAAUACCGCAUACGACCUACGGGGGAAAGCAGGGGAUCUUCGGACCUUGCGCGAUUGAAUGAGCCGAUGUCGGAUUAGCUAGUUGGCGGGGUAAAGGCCCACCAAGGCGAGGAUCCGUAGCUGGUCUGAGAGGAUGAUCAGCCACACUGGAACUGAGACACGGUCCAGACUCCUACGGGAGGCAGCAGUGGGGAAUAUUGGACAAUGGGCGCAAGCCUGAUCCAGCCAUACCGCGUGGGUGAAGAAGGCCUUCGGGUUGUAAAGCCCUUUUGUUGGGAAAGAAAAGCAGCAGGUUAAUACCCCGCUGUUCUGACGGUACCCAAAGAAUAAGCACCGGCUAACUUCGUG